rnacentral:rRNA from 1 species
GUGCAAUGCAAUCGAAAGGGAAUCGGGUUAAUAUUCCCGAGCCAGGAUACGGUUGAUGUUCAACAUUCCAGAAGUGCCUCGUGCACUGAUGGUGUUGUGCAUAAGUGGUAACACUAACAAACCCAGAAAUUAACUAUACGAAGUCCGGGGAAGAGUUUUCUCUUCUUUGUAAGGAAUGUUAUCCCUGGAAUCAGAUUGUCUGGCGAUAGGGUACGCAUUCCGUAAUGCAGCGCGAUUCCUGCGAUGUACCGUGCGCUUCGUAUAGUGCUUGAAAAUCUGGGGGCGCGAUAGUUCAGACCGUACCUGUUCGUACUGAUUUCCGCAGCAGGUCUCCAAGGUGAGCAGCCUCUAGUCAAUAGGACAAAGUAGACAAGGGAAGUCGGCAAAUUAGAUCCGUAACUUCGGAAAAAGGAUUGGCUCUAAAAGCUGAGCUGGUCGGGCUAUCGCAAUAAGCUGUUAGCUAUGUCUUGGCUCUGUCUCAGUUGCUGUAUGCUCGCAAGGGUGUCGGCUUCGAGGACGGACCUCGGUUUUGCGUUCUGUGUAAGGUGAUGGCUAUGCUGCCUGGUUGAUGAGUGAUCAACUUCCAGGUAGAUCCGAUCAGCGUUAAACAGCUGACCUAGAACUGGUAUGGACAAGGGGAAUCCAACUGUUUAAUUAAAACAAAGCAUUGCGAUAGCUGUAAUCGG